UCAAGAACAGUCCUUCGGACGCUAACUUUGGGAGUUAGAGAGUGACGCCUAGUCAUUUUUGAA
rnacentral:tRNA from 1 species